CAGUGGGGAAUAUUGGACAAUGGGCGAAAGCCUGAUCCAGCCAUGCCGCGUGUGUGAAGAAGGUCUUCGGAUUGUAAAGCACUUUAAGUUGGGAGGAAGGGCAGUUACCUAAUACGUGAUUGUUUUGACGUUACCGACAGAAUAAGCACCGGCUAACUCUGUGCCAGCAGCCGCGGUAAUACAGAGGGUGCAAGCGUUAAUCGGAAUUACUGGGCGUAAAGCGCGCGUAGGUGGUUUGUUAAGUUGGAUGUGAAAUCCCCGGGCUCAACCUGGGAACUGCAUUCAAAACUGACUGACUAGAGUAUGGUAGAGGGUGGUGGAAUUUCCUGUGUAGCGGUGAAAUGCGUAGAUAUAGGAAGGAACACCAGUGGCGAAGGCGACCACCUGACUNAUACUGACACUGAG
rnacentral:rRNA from 1 species